GUCCCAGCUCUUUCCACCCGAGCGCGAGGUAGACGCCGGGGCCACCCGCAGCACGCAGAGCUUCUGGGAGCCGGUGGCAAGGCCGAAUUGGGAUGCAAACCAAAUGGACGUGGGUGACUGGCAGAAAACGCCUCCCACAAAUGGGAGGGAUUUCGGAGGGAACCGAAAGAAAGUUGCACAGGUCAGCAGAGGGACUCAUUUCAUCGUUGUGCCCCGGGAUCCGGGCUGAUAGAGUCUCCAUUUCAACCAUUACAGAGGAAGGAAAAGAACUAUAGCAAAUCCCUCACUGUCUCUUCAAGCUUCUCCCCGGAAGAGACCCGUGUUAUUCCACUCCCUUUUCAUUGAAAAAAGCAAGUCACAUGGAAAGCAAGUCACAUGGACUCAACUAAUUUCAAAGGAGUGGAAAUGCAAUCCUAGCAGUUUCUUGGGAGGAGAGAAGAACUGGAAUAUUUGGGGUUAGCUCUAAUUACUAUGUUGCCAGCCAUGCUUCCAGGAGGUGGAUGGAGAAACCACGAGACACAUAACAGAUCCAGCUCAGACUCCUGUGCUCCUUGAUAGGCACAUUUCCUCCUGGUCAGCAGAUCUUUCUGGGAGGUGCAGCCAGGUGGACCAUCCUCAUGGCCGGUGGCAUCCCCUGAGCCUCCAGCUGUACUCUAAG
rnacentral:lncRNA from 10 species